ACAGAUCAAGAUCUGGUCAGUUCUGACUUUGUCGAAUUAAACCAGGAGCUUGGAAAUGAAUUUUUGAAUGAAACCAGUUGGGGGAUAUUUGGUUUAUACCAUGGUGAUAACCGAGAGAGGCAAUUGCUAAGUUGUGAUGCACUCAUACCUUUACUAGAUGCGAACAAUUCCGGAGAAGAAGAAGAAGUGGAAUCGGAUGAGAAGAUUAUUUAUAUUGUUGGAAUUCUUAUAUUGAUGGAGUUGAAGAAGUACAGGGACAAAUAAGCCAAG